GCCGGGCGUCAUGGCACGUGCCUGUAGUCCCAGCUACUCAGGAGCCUGAGGUGGGAGGAUCGCUUGAGCCCAGGAGUUCUGAGCUGUAGUGCAUUAUGCCAAUCGAGUGUCCACACUAAGUUCAGCAUCAAUAUGGUGACCUCCUGGGAGUAGGGGACCACCAGGUUGACUAAGGAAGGGUAAACCAGCCCAGGUCGGAAACGGAGCAGGUCAAAACUCCUGUGCUGAUCAGUAGUGGGAUCACGCCUGUCAACAGCCAUUGCACUCCAGCCUGGGCAACAUAGCAAGACCCCGUUUCU
rnacentral:SRP_RNA from 1 species